rnacentral:rRNA from 1 species
CUGGAGGUAUCAGAAGUGCGAAUGCUGACAUAAGUAACGAUAAAGCGGGUGAAAAGCCCGCUCGCCGGAAGACCAAGGGUUCCUGUCCAACGUUAAUCGGGGCAGGGUGAGUCGACCCCUAAGGCGAGGCCGAAAGGCGUAGUCGAUGGGAAACAGGUUAAUAUUCCUGUACUUGGUGUUACUGCGAAGGGGGGACGGAGAAGGCUAUGUUGGCCGGGCGACGGUUGUCCCGGUUUAAGCGUGUAGGCUGGUUUUCCAGGCAAAUCCGGAAAAUCAAGGCUGAGGCGUGAUGACGAGGCACUACGGUGCUGAAGCAACAAAUGCCCUGCUUCCAGGAAAAGCCUCUAAGCAUCAGGUAACAUCAAAUCGUACCCCAAACCGACACAGGUGGUCAGGUAGAGAAUACCAAGGCGCUUGAGAGAACUCGGGUGAAGGAACUAGGCAAAAUGGUGCCGUAACUUCGGGAGAAGGCACGCUGAUAUGUAGGUGAAGUCCCUUGCGGAUGGAGCUGAAAUCAGUCGAAGAUACCAGCUGGCUGCAACUGUUUAUUAAAAACACAGCACUGUGCAAACACGAAAGUGGACGUAUACGGUGUGACGCCUGCCCGGUGCCGGAAGGUUAAUUGAUGGGGUUAGCGGUAACGCGAAGCUCUUGAUCGAAGCCCCGGUAAACGGCGGCCGUAACUAUAACGGUCCUAAGGUAGCGAAAUUCCUUGUCGGGUAAGUUCCGACCUGCACGAAUGGCGUAAUGAUGGCCAGGCUGUCUCCACCCGAGACUCAGUGAAAUUGAACUCGCUGUGAAGAUGCAGUGUACCCGCGGCAAGACGGAAAGACCCCGUGAACCUUUACUAUAGCUUGACACUGAACAUUGAGCCUUGAUGUGUAGGAUAGGUGGGAGGCUUUGAAGUGUGGACGCCAGUCUGCAUGGAGCCGGCCUUGAAAUACCACCCUUUAAUGUUUGAUGUUCUAACGUUGGCCCCUGAUCGGGGUUGCGGACAGUGUCUGGUGGGUAGUUUGACUGGGGCGGUCUCCUCCUAAAGAGUAACGGAGGAGCACGAAGGUUGGCUAAUCCUGGUCGGACAUCAGGAGGUUAGUGCAAUGGCAUAAGCCAGCUUGACUGCGAGCGUGACGGCGCGAGCAGGUGCGAAAGCAGGUCAUAGUGAUCCGGUGGUUCUGAAUGGAAGGGCCAUCGCUCAACGGAUAAAAGGUACUCCGGGGAUAACAGGCUGAUACCGCCCAAGAGUUCAUAUCGACGGCGGUGUUUGGCACCUCGAUGUCGGCUCAUCACAUCCUGGGGCUGAAGUAGGUCCCAAGGGUAUGGCUGUUCGCCAUUUAAAGUGGUACGCGAGCUGGGUUUAGAACGUCGUGAGACAGUUCGGUCCCUAUCUGCCGUGGGCGCUGGAGAACUGAGGGGGGCUGCUCCUAGUACGAGAGGACCGGAGUGGACGCAUCACUGGUGUUCGGGUUGUCAUGCCAAUGGCACUGCCCGGUAGCUAAAUGCGGAAGAGAUAAGUGCUGAAAGCAUCUAAGCACGAAACUUGCCCC